UGGGAAGGGCUUUGAGGAAGUACGAAUUUAAGAGGGACAGGACAGAGAAUGAGGCAUGGAGUUUUCUGGAAUUCUCCUAUCACCUACAGUGUCUUCCCAGGCAAACUCACUGGCUUCUUCCUUCAACUACCAGUUCCUGAACUCACAUUUCAUCAAAGUGUUCUCGAGGAAAAUGGAGCUGUUUUUGAAUGAUAAUCCAGCUGAGCGUCUCACCUUCUCUACAGUAUGCAACAGUGAUCCCCAACCUUUUCUGCACCAGAGACAGGUUUCAUGGAGACAAUUUUUCCACGGAUGGGGUUGGGGGAGUGGAGGGGGAUGUUUGAUUUCAGAGUGAUUCAAAUACAUUUGCUAUGCAUUUCUGUUGCUACAUUAUAAUAUAUAAUGAAAUAAUUAUACACCUCACUAUAAUGCAGAAUCAGUAGAAGAUCUGAAAUUGUUUUCCUGUAAUUAAACAGUCUGAUCAGGGGUUGAUGGGAGACAGUAACAUCUGAAAUGUGAUGCUACUGCAUAAUCUUAUUUUGUCCUGCUAGUAGAUGUAGCUUGUCACUUACCACUUGCUGAUAAGGUUUUGAUAUGAGUAUGCAAGUGAUUGAUUUGUUAUGAUCUCUGUGCAUUCAAACCUCUCUGCUGGUGUUAAUCUAUUUGUAACACCUCUCCAGUGCUAGCAUCAUUGAGCCACCUCAAAUCAUCAAACACUAGAUUCUCUUAAGGAUUGCAAAACCUGGAUUCC
rnacentral:lncRNA from 1 species